AGAGGAAGUAAAAGUCGUAACAAGGUUUCCGUAGGUGAACCUGCGGAAGGAUCAUUAGUGAUUGAAACACCAUUUUGUCUGUGAGGGGCGAAUGGUGAUGGAGGAUGUCCUAAGCCGCUUGCGGUAGAGGCAUAUAGAAAUAUUAUAUUUAUGUAUUGAAAAAAUACGUAUCGCGUAUUGACUUCAUGAACGAAGUUAGGCGUGUGUCGCCGGCAACUAGGUUGUCGGUUUGACAAUUUUUCAAAAGUGUGUGCUAUUGAGAACAGUAGUAUUCAAGACUCAAUAUGGAGGAUCACUUAGUCCUUAAAGCGAUGAAAAACGUAGUAAUUUGUGGAAACUGGUGUGAGUUGUGAAAUUUUGUGAGCAUUGUGUUUUUGAAUGAAAACUUCAGUAGAGAUGCCAAAGUAUCUCUGCUACACUUGUUUCAGUAUAUUAAACGAAGCAAUAAGUAAUUACUAUUGCUGCAACGCAAUGGUAGAAAUAUUCUAUGAUCACAAGAGUGAUAUUGUGCUUGAGAGUGAGUGAAGUAUCUGAAAUCAAGUGUGAGUACCCCCUGAAUUUAAGCAUAU
rnacentral:misc_RNA from 1 species